UACUUCCGGGAUUUGAAUGUAGUUUUGAUAUUUUGUUUUACAUUUCCGGUUUUCCGAAAAGUUCCAAUUGUACUUUUGUCACAAAGUCUCUAAUAGUUUCCUGGCGCAGUUUGACAUUGAUCUAGAGAUUAAAUCCAAAGAAAACGGACGAAGAAAUACAUCUGAAAGAAAUAGAAGAAAGGAAGGAUGAUGGUGGAGGGGGAGAACCAGAGAGGGGAGACCCUCAUACCCAGCGAGGGAGAGGGGUCUGGUGGACAGGAGGCCAUCCACAUGAAGGAGUCCGUUGUCGAGGACAACACAGAACCCGAUGAGGGUUCACGGAAGCCAACCACAGGACCAGUGGUUGUCACGGGAAACCAGAAAAUGCCCGCCAUCGAGAAACUGGAACAGGUUCGCAAAUGGAGCAUCACUACUUAUAAGUGUACUAAGCAGGUUCUGUCAGAGAAGAUGGGUCGUGGAUCCCGUACGGUCGACCCAGAACUCGAGGCCCGCAUCGACAUUCUCCGUGACGACCGCCGCCGUUAUGAUCACGUGACCUGCCUGGCCCAGACACUCGCCACGCAGCUCGCCCAGGUCACACAGACGCAAAGGACUCUGGGCGAUGCCUUCACCGAGCUCAGCCUCAAAACGCCGCCACUACACGUAGAGUUUGGUCUGAACGGGGACACCCAGCGGUUCCUGUCGAAGAGCGGAGAGGUCAUGGUGUCAGCUAUGAACUCUUUCACCUCCGAUAUGAACACGCUGGUUAACAAAACUAUAGAGGACACCAUGGUUAACGUGAAACACUACGAGACAGCCAGGAUAGAAUAUGAUGCGUACCGUUGUGACCUGGAGGACUUGAACCUGGGACCUCGAGACACCGCCACCCUCCCCAAACUAGAGCAGGCCCAGAGAACCUUCCAGAACCAGAGAGAGAAGUAUGAGAAGAGCCGAAACGAUCUGUCAGUCAAACUCAAACUACUGGAGGAGAAUAAGGUAAAGGUUCUCCAGCAUCAGUUGGUAUUGUUCCAUGGUGCUGUAGCCUCCAACAGCACCUCCAACCACCAGCACCUGGAGCUCAGCCUGCAGCAGGCAAGCACCAAGCUACCCAUGCCCGGCACGGAGCCUCCUUCCUGGCUAGAGGAGAGCUCAUCACCCCAAUAACCAUCCACCAUGUCUGGGGGCCCAUGUAACCUUCCAGUAUCUUAAUGCAAGUUGGGGCCUCUCAACUGCCACAUCUGUGGGACAAAACAGGGGGUAUUGUCGACAGGGGGUAUUGUCCUAUAGAGCCUAUAGGUUCUCCUCUUACCCUAUAGGUUCUCCUCUUACCCUAUAGGUUCUCCUCUUACCCUAUAGGUUCUCCUCUUACCCUAUAGGUUCUCCUCUUACCCUAUAGGUUCUCCUCUUACCCUAUAGGUUCUCCUCUUACCCUAUAUGUCCUAUAGGUUCUCCUCUUACCCUAUAGGUUCUCCUCUUACCCUAUAGGUUCUCCUCUUACCCUAUAGAACCUAUAGGUUCUCCUCUUACCCUAUAGGUUCUUCUCUUACCCUAUAGAUCCUAUAGGUUCUCCUCUUACCCUAUAGGUUCUCCUCUUACCCUAUAGAACCUAUAGGUUAUUCUCUUACCCUAUAGAACCUAUAGGUUAUUCUCUUACCCUAUAGCUUCUUCUCUUACCGUAUAGAUCCUAUAGGUUCUCCUCUUACCCUAUAGCUUCUUCUCUUACCGUAUAGAUCCUAUAGGUCCUCCUCUUACCCUAUAUAUCCUAUAGGUUCUCCUCUUACCCUAUAGGUUCUUCUCUUACCCUAUAGGUCAUAUAGGUUCUCCUCUUACCCUAUAGCUUCUGAUCUUGCCCUAUAGAACCUAUAGGUUCUCCUCUUACCCUAUAUCUUACCCUAUAGGUUCUCCUCUUACCCUAUAGGUUCUCCUCUUACCCUAUAGAACCUAUAGGUUAUUCUCUUACCCUAUAGGUUCUCCUCUUACCCGAUAGAUCCUAUAGGUCCUCCUCUUACCCUAUAGAACCUAU